rnacentral:rRNA from 1 species
UACGUAGGGGGCGAGCGUUGUCCGGAAUUAUUGGGCGUAAAGAGCGUGUAGGCGGUUCGGUAAGUCUGCCGUGAAAACCUGGGGCUCAACCCCGGGCGUGCGGUGGAUACUGCCGGGCUAGAGGGUGGUAGAGGCGAGUGGAAUUCCCGGUGUAGCGGUGAAAUGCGCAGAUAUCAGGAGGAACACCAAUUGCGAAGGCAGCUCGCUGGGACGUAACUGACGCUGAGACGCGAAAGCGUGGGGAGCAAACAGG